CCUUGUUGCAGCUGUAUUUGUCCCUCGGUUUGAACGUGGAAGUGUUUCUGUGGGGUUUUCUGCAUCAGAAUCUCUCGUUUCUGGGACAGGAGAGGAACUGCGUCUGCAGUGAGGCUGUACGAAGACCCCGGAGGUCCCCGACAGCAGGAACUGGGUGACUGUCCUGUCCAGGGGUGAUCUCAGGAGGAGGUGUUCUCUGGCCCAGGUUGCCCAGAGCAGUGGUUUCUGCCCCAUCCCUGGAGGGGUUCCAGGCCAGGUUGGAUGGGGCUUGGAGCCCCUGAUCCAGUGGGAGGUGUCCCUGCCCAUGGCAGGGGUGGAACUCAAUGGACUUUGAGGUCCCUCCUAACCCAAACCAUUCCAGGAUUCUAUGAUCUUACAGUGAGGAGCCCCUGGAAGCUGUCUUCGGAUGCAGAUUUGGAGCAUGAACUGCUUGUGUGCUGAACCUCACAGUGAGUUUUAUGCUGAGUGGUGUUUAUGCUGUGAAACAACCCAGCGCAGAGAAUUCUUAACAAUGUGGGGAAAUAUCUUCUUAAAAUCUUCUCUGGUGUUCAGCCUGUGAAAGGUGCUGUGUCAGCAAGUAGGAUGCAAAGUGGAGCAGGGUUAGUUUAACAUCUGCUUAAAAUAGAAAUCGUAGUUUGCAGCGAUGAGCCGGGAAACUUCCUUCAGGAGCAAUCUGUGCGGACUGAGCAAUAGGACUAAUUACACCUCUGCCAUCCGUGGAUCAUUCCUUAUGGAGCCUUGUGUUUCUUCAGUCUUUUGUUGUGUGUCUUUACGAAGAAGCACUGGCACAGGUUGCUCAGAGAAAUGGUGGAUGCUCCAUCCCUGGAAACACUCAGGGUCAGGUUGGAUGGGGCUCUGAGCCCCAUGAUCUGGUUGAAGAUCUCACUGCAGGUGGGUGAGACUGGAUGACCUUCAUGGUCCCUUCCAGUCCAAACCAUUCUGUGAUUCAACCUCAGUGACUGAUUUGAGUUGAACUCAUUUAUUUCUAAGUGUAGGUAAGGAUUGGGUUGUUUUCUAUCCCCGUGCAGUACGUUAUAGCCAAGUCCUGAGCAGCGUGUGUUACUGAGAUGUCCCAUUCCCGUACAGAAGGGAUUGGUGUCGUUGAAAUGAAAUAAUAAAUAACUGUAUGUAAGCAGUGAAUUUGGUCAUGGGGCUCUGUGAAACCAGACCUUGCCUGUUAGGGUUUAGAGCACAAGUCUUAUGAGGAGCAGCUGAGGGAGCUGGGCUUGUUUAGUCUGGAGAAAAGGAGACCUGAUUGCUCGCUACCUAAAACGACAUAAUAGUGAGGUUUGGUCUCUUCUCUCUGGUAGCCAGUGACAGGACAAGGAAGAUGACCUGAAGAUGCACCAGGGAAGGUUUAGGUUGGAUAUUAGGAGGAAUUUCUUUACUGAAGGGGUUCUUGGGCGCUGGCAGAGGCUGACCUAGAAUGUGUUUGAGUCACCAUCCCUGGAGGGGCUCAAAAACCGAGUAGACGUCGUAGUUGGGGGUGUGGUCUGGUGGUGGACUUAGCAGGGAUAUAGCGAUGGUUGGACUCAAUGAUUUUAAAGCUCUUUUCCAACCGAAACCAUUCAGUGAUUCUGGGAUUACUCACGUUUUCCUUCUUUUCUUACUUUUGGAUUUUUUCCUUCCUCGUGCUGUCCUUCAUCUGUCAGUGACACCCACAUUGUGCAUCGCUAAUAAUGGGAAGGGCUGGCUUCGUAUUUGCAUCUCCUUUCCAUGAGUAAAGCUGCCAGGGAUAUGAACUUCAGAGGAGACUUCUACCCUCGUUUCCAUGAAUACGGGGGCUCUGUUUGAUGCCUUUGGGGUUGAACGCAGCUGCGUGUGAAGGUGACUUUGGAUCCGCUGUGUGAUGCUGUUUCUUGAAACGUUUGCAGUGUGUGCUGAUGAGGUCACGGAACAGGUAAAUGGCUGAGUUUGUCCCGUAAUGUCAGUUUUGAAGCACUUCAGCGCCGGGCUUGGGGGUUGCCUGGGUGCUGUGGUACUUUGGGUGGAAUUUUUAAGCAGUUCCUCUCGCGUUAACCUCAUCAGAGCUCUGUUAUUAGAGCCGAGAACUCUGCAAUCGAUCGAUUCGAUGGUUCUAAUUAAGCUCCUUCCAUACAUUUGUUUUCUGCAGAGCACGUUACGAAACCACUGUCCAGCUUGGUGGUGAAGUUUGUUGUCUUGGUACAAACUUUGGCAUGGGAAGGAGGAGAGCUGCCCGAUGGCUGCCUGCAAGGGCCAUUGUGUCUCGGAGGGGUUUAAGCACUCGUAAAGAGCUUACUUGGCUGUGGUUUCUGUCUUGUCUGGUGUUUUUUAACUGGUAAAGUUGAAUGAACUUCAGCACGCAAUAUCCAUGGCAGUGUGAGAGUAGGGGGAAACUCUGCUGAGCAAUAGUGAGGAAUUCCCCUGUUAGGGAAUGAACGUAGGCCUUGAACUUAACUCCAGUCACUUCAGGUUGUGUGACAGGGUUGUGUUCAACAGGGUUACCAUGUCAUCGCUCUUGCUUCAUGUAGGGAAGGAGCUGGUUUCUGUUUGCUUUUCUGGUUAAACAUGCAUCGGGCUGUCUGGUUUGUGAUGCCGUGUGGGUGUUUCUGUUAACGGCUUCAUGCACCUGCGUUUGUUCCUUUCAAAGCCGUUUGUCUCUUGCUGAAGAGCUGAGGCUCUGUCUGUAGAGAAGCCUUGUGUUGGGAUUUUCGGAAGCCGAAGAGCAAGCGAGGAUGGUGGCACGUGUGGAAAAAGUAGUGUCAGCAGAACAGUUGAAACCCAGGAGCGAAGGGCAGCCAAAGAGGAGAGAGCCUUCCUGGAAGAAAACGUGUUGACUCAAGCAAAAUUACCUUCCUGUGAACAAUCAAGUCAUGUGAAAGACCCAGACGCGUUGUACGGCACUGCAGGCGCACUCCUCUUCCAGCAGAGACAGAGCUAUUUGGGCAGAAGGAUAAAAGGAAAGACUUGGCGUGGAGAACUGGGAAAGGAGUAAAUAGUCUUCUAUUAGAAUGGAGUUUGGCUUCAGGUUAUGAAAGAUCUGGCAGCAGUGCAGCUCGGAGCGUGUUCGCUGCUUU